AGCGGCGAACGGGUGAGUAACACGUGGGUGAUCUGCCUUGCACUUCGGGAUAAGCCUGGGAAACUGGGUCUAAUACCGGAUAUGACCCCGGAAUGCAUGUUCUGGGGUGGAAAGAUUUAUCGGUGCGAGAUGGGCCCGCGGCCUAUCAGCUUGUUGGUGAGGUAACGGCUCACCAAGGCGACGACGGGUAGCCGACCUGAGAGGGUGACCGGCCACACUGGGACUGAGACACGGCCCAGACUCCUACGGGAGGCAGCAGUGGGGAAUAUUGCACAAUGGGCGCAAGCCUGAUGCAGCGACGCCGCGUGCGGGAUGACGGCCUUCGGGUUGUAAACCGCUUUUGACAGGGACGAAGCGCAAGUGACUGUACCUGUAGAAUAAGGACCGGCCAACUACGUGCCAGCAGCCGCGGUAAUACGUAGGGUCCGAGCGUUGUCCGGAAUUACUGGGCGUAAAGAGCUUGUAGGCGGUUCGUCGCGUCGUUUGUGAAAACUUGGGGCUCAACCUUAAGCUUGCAGGCGAUACGGGCGGACUAGAGUACUUCAGGGGAGACUGGAAUUCCUGGUGUAGCGGUGAAAUGCGCAGAUAUCAGGAGGAACACCGGUGGCGAAGGCGGGUCUCUGGGAAGUAACUGACGCUGAGAAGCGAAAGCAUGGGUAGCAAACAGGAUUAGAUACCCUGGUAGUCCAUGCCGUAAACGGUGGGUACUAGGUGUGGGGCUCCUUCCACGGACUCCGUGCCGUAGCUAACGCAUUAAGUACCCCGCCUGGGGAGUACGGCCGCAAGGCUAAAACUCAAAGAAAUUGACGGGGGCCCGCACAAGCGGCGGAGCAUGUGGAUUAAUUCGAUGCAACGCGAAGAACCUUACCUGGGUUUGACAUACACCGGAAACCUGCAGAGAUGUAGGCCCCCUUGUGGUCGGUGUACAGGUGGUGCAUGGCUGUCGUCAGCUCGUGUCGUGAGAUGUUGGGUUAAGUCCCGCAACGAGCGCAACCCUUAUCUUAUGUUGCCAGCGCGUAAUGGCGGGGACUCGUGAGAGACUGCCGGGGUCAACUCGGAGGAAGGUGGGGACGACGUCAAGUCAUCAUGCCCCUUAUGUCCAGGGCUUCACACAUGCUACAAUGGCCGGUACAGAGGGCUGCGAUACCGCGAGGUGGAGCGAAUCCCUUAAAGCCGGUCUCAGUUCGGAUCGGGGUCUGCAACUCGACCCCGUGAAGUUGGAGUCGCUAGUAAUCGCAGAUCAGCAACGCUGCGGUGAAUACGUUCCCGGGCCUUGUACACACCGCCCGUCACGUCAUGAAAGUCGGUAACAC
rnacentral:rRNA from 1 species